rnacentral:rRNA from 1 species
UACGGGGGGGGGCAAGCGUUGUUCGGAAUUACUGGGCGUAAAGGGCUCGUAGGUGGCCAACUAAGUCAGACGUGAAAUCCCUCAGCUUAACUGGGGAACUGCGUCUGAUACUGGAUGGCUUGAGUUUGGGAGAGGGAUGCGGAAUUCCAGGUGUAGCGGUGAAAUGCGUAGAUAUCUGGAGGAACACCGGUGGCGAAGGCGGCAUCCUGGACCAACACUGACGCUCAUGCACGAAAGCGUGGGGAGCAAACAGG